CGAAAGUUUUCAGUGUAAAGACGGAAAAGGACAACAGUCGGAUAGUUAGACGGAAAAAUGGUUAAGAUUUUUUCACAUGUUUCUGGGAACACCUUUGAUUCUCAUAACAAAAUAAUAAAAAGACUCAAGAAACGUGGCGCAAAAGAAGUAUCUGACCCAGGAGAGAGUGAUUACACAAUUGUCUUCUGCCCUAUCGUUAGUCGUUUCGAGACAGACAUUCGGUCAGCCUUAUCUGCUGUGCAAGGCAAUGGCAGUGUGAUUCUGGUGGCAAUGCAUCAUACCUACGACCCAGACUACAUUUUACCAGACAAAAGGAACUUGGACAACGGAGCCAUUCAACUCCUGGUAGAGUGUCUGUUUUUUGAGAACAAAGGACUUUUGAAAUGUUCUCGAAAUUCAAAGGCUAAGAAAUCUAUCUACAAAAAGCUGGGGCUUCCAACUAAGAAGAUGAUGCCAAUGAAAAUGUAGCACUAUUCAAACAGGGAUGCAUGAUUACUGGAUUGCAAGUGUUUGGUGCACAGCAAUAGCUUUUUUCUAGAUAUAAGGUACUUUAAAGGAUACCUUUGUAUUCUUUUGUGAAGGAAAUUAAAUAAGCUGGUUAACACAUGUAAAUAUUUGGGAUUUGGGUAUUUUGGAUUGAUGAUGCCCUCAAUUUAAAAACCUAUUUUGAAACUUUAUUUGAAGCUGUGUUUUUCAUUUUCUAAACAAGUUGUUUUUCUUUAAGCUGCUACAAAGUAGCUUGUUGGUGCAGCUUGUUUGUCUAUGUUGGAGUAUUUUCUUUUAUAUAUGAAUGCCACUUCAAAAUGUCUUAGGAGGCCUACCGUAUUUUCUGGACUAUAGAGCGCAGCUCACUAUAAGCAGCGCCCACAAAAUUAUUUUUAAAAACUGGAAAUGUACAUAUAUAAUCCAUACCUAGCUUUAAGCCUCUGAUAUCUACUGAACUGUCUCCCACCAAACCUAUAGGGGGAGCUCUACAUAUAGCCCCUGGAGUCGGGAGAAAAAAGAAUGCUAGCUCCUGUUAGCUCGCAGCUGUAAGAGCUUAUAUUGAAAGAUGGGGCUUCAUCGGAUCUUUAUUUCAGCUCUGCAGGACUAGAGUCUCUUCAUUGGUUUGGCAGCUUUAAUGAGGCCAAUAAAUGUCAAAAUUUCUGAAUUUCAGUAGCCUGAUA